AAAAACCUGCGGACGAGGCGGAGGGACCGGCUUUGCCCGAGCGCUUGCGACAAGCGGCCAGAACAACAACAAAACACCCAAAAGCCCGCUGCAGGCGGAGUACACUCAGUCCGGUGCUGCUCGGUGGCCCCUUUGUUCCCGGCGGGGGGACAGGCGAGGCGUGAACCCCCCAGCCUGCUGCCCACACGCCAUGGGACGGGCCCCUUCCCAGCGGGGCUGCUCGGCAGGGCCCGACCCUCCUCUCCUCUCCUCUCGGCGGAGCGGGGAUAUGAUAAAAGGAGACAGGGCUCUGAAAGGAUUUGAUUGAGAUGGCGUGUGCCAAGCUGAUGGGAGCCAGCGAGGGACAAAGCGCCGAGGAGCCAUGGACACUCGAGCAAUUAUUCCUCCACGCUGAAGGCAGACCUAAUAUAGGGGCUGGCAGCACGAGGGCAGAAAGCUCCGCAGGAUGGACAAGCCAGUAGGAACAUAACCAAAGCCAUUGCAUGGAAGAAAUAUACAUCCCCAAGAUUGCAGUGGCACAGAGUGCAACAGCUCCCGCCAGAAAAAAAGCUCAGCUCAAAGCCCCUGCAUCUGCUUUCAAUAGUCAGUUACAAAAGGAAUUAACCACACCACAGGCAACAACAGCAGUGGGGCUCAAGAGUAUCUCUGGAUGGGAAAGACCUUCAUGCUGUCCACGUCCUAUAGAAGCUGGCACUUCAGUGCACGUUCUUUACACUCGGCUGUCCUUCACCUUCCUGCUCUGAAAACACGGCUAUUCCUUCUGCCCCAGGAUGUACUUCCCCACUUUCUCUUCCUUCACCUGGUCUAAAGGUGCCUGUGCAAACGAGCUGUGUGGCUACACACAGAUCAGGAAUCCAGGAGCUUGCAGGAACCUUGGAGCCCUGGUUCAGAGAGGGAACCCACGUGCUUGCCAUACAGGGCAGAGAUGGUUUUGGGUGGUGGUUCUUGCCCUGUAGGAUUAGGGUGUGAAGGAAAGCCAGUCUGGAGACAGUGGGUCCUUCCCACUCCACCAGAAAGCUCUCGGUUGCCUCAGCCUGAUUUCCACUUUGGUUUGCUCAGUGGAUGCGCUCCAACCACUCUACUGGAGAGAUGAGAAACGUUGGCCCUUUAGUCUGAGCCACCAAAGCUAACCUCUGCAUCAUAGAGACAUGACUACACAGAUGGUAACAGGGAAUAAAGGCCACAGGUCUGUCACCUUCAUACCUACAGCACCUGGCACCAAAAUGGAGGGGUAAGAGUGCAAGGACACAAAUCUUGCUUUCCACAACAAACUAUACUUCUGUUCACCCUUCCCAAAGCAUCACCCUCUGUACCUGCUCAAGAAAGUCUAGAGACUUCAACCAGAAGAAUAGAAACAAGGCUGAUUUGCUCAUCUCUAGUAGUAAACAGUCAUGAAAGACUUUCACAUUUCCUCUGUUUCCUAUUGCUUAUUUUAAAUUACCUAUUUUGGGGAGUUUCGGGUUAUUCAACUAAAUAUUGCAAACGGAGAGGCUGCACCCUAUGCGGAAUAAAUGACCUAAG
rnacentral:lncRNA from 7 species